GCGGACGUGGUGGAACUGGUAUACACGUACGUUCGAGGGGCGUAUGCCGUAAGGCUUGAGGGUUCAAAUCCCUCCGUCCGCACCA
rnacentral:tRNA from 4 species